rnacentral:rRNA from 1 species
UACGUAGGGGGCGAGCGUUACCCGGAUUUACUGGGCGUAAAGGGGGCGUAGGCGGCCGGGCAAGUCUGGUGUGAAAGCCCAGGGCUCAACCCUGGAAGGGCACUGGAAACUGUCUGGCUUGAGUUCCGGAGAGGAGGGGGGAAUUCCCGGUGUAGCGGUGAAAUGCGUAGAUAUCGGGAGGAAUACCGGUGGCGAAGGCGCCCCUCUGGACGGGUACUGACGCUCAUGCACGAAAGCGUGGGGAGCAAACAGG